AGGAACGUAUAGCAAUAGCUAGUUGCAUCAUUUUAAAUAUGAUGCAAGAUUGACUAUGUUGAAUAAAAUUCUAGGUAGAAUUAUGAUAAUGACAUUGUCUGCCUAUGUGUCUUGACCAAAUUACGUGCCAGCAGUCGCGGUAAUACGUAGAAGACUAGUGUUAUUCAUGUUUAAUCGGUUUAAAGGGUACCUAGACGGCAGAUCAAGCUUUACGAGCAGAAAAAAGAAAAAGGACUAAUUUGCUAGAGUUACUUACGAGGGGGCUUUAAAGUACUACUGGUGUAGAGAUGAAAUUCUGUCAUACCUCUUUUCAAAUGAAUAAUAAUGGCACAGGUAUAGGCGAAGGCAUCCCCUUAUGGGAUAACUGACGUUGAGGGACGAAGGCUUUGUACAGCGAAUAGGAUUAGAUACCCUAGUAGUGGAAGCAGAAAACGAUGAAUGUCAUAGAUUAGCUAGAUAAGUUCAUUCUAUAAAUGAAAGUGUAAGCAUUCCACCUCAUGAGUAAUUUGGCAACAUUGGAAUUGAAAUCAUUAGACCGUUUCUGAAACCAGUAGUGAAGUAUGUUGUUUAAUUUGAUGAUCCGCAAAAAACCUUACCACAAUUUGAAUAUUUAUAUUUUUUUUAUUGUUAUCUUAUUAAUUUUUUUCUCUUUACAGAUAUUACAAAGUAUUAAAGAAAAGAGAAAAUAAAUUAUGAUAGAGGCAAUAACAUAUAUUUACAAGCGUUGCACGGCUGUCUUCAGUUAAUGUCGCGAGAUUUUGGUUAGAUCCAUUAAAUUAACGUAAACCCUUACUUUAUUUUUAGAYAGAGUUGUUCCCCACUAUAUAGGAUUCGAU
rnacentral:rRNA from 1 species